rnacentral:rRNA from 1 species
CCUACGGGAGGCAGCAGUGGGGGAUAUUGCACAAUGGGGGGAACCCUGAUGCAGCGACGCCGCGUGGGUGAAGGAGCGUUUCGGCGCGUAAAGCCCUAUCGGCAGGGAAGAAGGAGGACGGUACCUGACUAAGAAGCCCCGGCUAACUACGUGCCAGCAGCCGCGGCAAGACGUAGGGGGCAAGCGUUAUCCGGAUUUACUGGGGGUAAAGGGGGCGCAGACGGCAGCGCAAGCCAGGAGUGAAAGCCCGGGGGCCAACCCCGGGACUGCUCUUGAAACUGCGCGGCUGGAGUGCAGGAGGGGCAUGCGGAAUGCCUGGUGUAGCGGUGAAAUGCGUAGAUAUCAGGAGGAACACCGGUGGCGAAGGCGGCCUGCUGGACUGCGACUGACGUUGAGGCCCGAAAGCGUGGGGAGCAAACAGGAUUAGAUACCCGUGUAGUC